rnacentral:tRNA from 1 species
GGGCCCGUCGUCUAGCGGUUAGGAUACCCGCCUGACGCGCGGGUGGUCCCCGGUUCGAAUCCGGGCGGGCCCA